UACGGAGGGUGCAAGCGUUAUCCGGAUUUACUGGGUUUAAAGGGUGCGUAGGCGGGUUGGUAAGUCCGUGGUGAAAUCUCCGAGCUUAACUCGGAAACUGCCGUGGAUACUAUCAAUCUUGAAUAUCGUGGAGGUAAGCGGAAUAUGUCAUGUAGCGGUGAAAUGCUUAGAUAUGACAUAGAACACCAAUUGCGUAGGCAGCUUACUACACGAUCAUUGACGCUGAGGCACGAAAGCGUGGGGAGCAAACAGG
rnacentral:rRNA from 1 species